rnacentral:lncRNA from 1 species
CGACAGCGCAGGAAUGUAAACGAUAAAAAUAAGAAGCACAUGGACGCAAAACUGAAAGAGAAAUAAACACAGAAGAUCAAAAUUAAUUACAUGCACAUGACUCUCCAUACAGGUGCAUUGUCAUGCUGCCAAUAGUUGCAGGGAAAAGAAAUUGCUUGUAAUUGGAAUGUUUAUUGAAUCAGUGGAAGGCCCUGCUCGCAUGUAUGAGCGCGUUUUCCUGGGCAUUGCUGUGCAUAGCAGUCAGCCCCACUCCAGCUCCAGAACAUGCUCCUAGGAGGCAGAUGGGCCUCAGAAGCGUCUGCCAUUCUGAUCUCAAGCUCUGCCUGAACACAAACAGAUUUACAGAUUCUUCAAAGGAUUUGCAUCAACCAAAGGUCCUGAUUGGUUAAUUGAAUCAGAUAUUCACAGUGAAUCACAGUGGGUCCUCAGUGAUUCAGAGCAUCCAAGAUAGUAUCAACGUAAAACAUUUUAAUUCUGUUGUUAAGCCUUCAUACAAUUUUCAUUUUGUAAUGUCAAGAUUACCAUGUCUUUAAUUGAGCAAAGGUUUAGCACUGCAUUUACACAGUGAUUUAUUUGAGUUUCAGGGAAACUGAAGGGAGUUUCUGUCUCAAAGUUUGGA